AAUAAUUGAUUUUCAGCUCAAUUUCGGGUUCAAGCUUCGUUUGGAGAAUUGGUCGUGGACUUUGAACGUUCGUGACAUAGUAACUCGACGAGUACUUACACUUAAUUAUAACUUGACGAUAUAAAGCAAAGGUGAACAGGUGAAUCAAAGACGUGAUGGAUGAUGAUUGAUUGUU